CAGAGGGGGCAAGCGUUGUUCGGAAUUACUGGGCGUAAAGGGCGCGUAGGCGGCCCGCUAAGUCGAACGUGAAAUCCCCGGGCUCAACCCGGGAACUGCGUCCGAUACUGGUGGGCUCGAAUCCGGGAGAGGGAUGCGGAAUUCCAGGUGUAGCGGUGAAAUGCGUAGAUAUCUGGAGGAACACCGGUGGCGAAGGCGGCAUCCUGGACCGGUAUUGACGCUGAGGCGCGAAAGCCAGGGGAGCAAACGGGAUUAGAUACCCCGGUAGUCCUGGCCCUAAACGAUGAAUGCUUGGUGUGGCGGGUAUCGAUCCCUGCCGUGCCGAAGCUAACGCAUUAAGCAUUCCGCCUGGGGAGUACGGUCGCAAGGCUG
rnacentral:rRNA from 1 species